rnacentral:rRNA from 1 species
CCCGAAAGAUCGAAUGGGGAGAUUCAACGUCAACGGAUUCGUUUUCCUUGUGGAUUGUGAUGUGCGGCGGACUAGCGUCUCGUGCGUUUUGUCCGUCGUGCACACAUUCGCAUUGGUUAUGAUUACGUCGGCGUGCACUUCUCCUCUAGUAGAACGUCGCGACCCGCUGGGUGUCGAUUUAAGGACUAAGAUUGUCGACUGUUUUGCGUUCGCGUUAAUAGCGCGUAUACGUGUUAACAGACGCUUAGAUUCCCGAUCGGCUACUCGGCGGUAUGUACUUAUGGUAUUGAGCCGCACAAAAGCGCUUUUUGUGUUUGAAUGCGUUCAGACUCGUUGCAAGCCCAAUCAUCAUAUAACCUGGAGGUGCGGACCUAGUGCCGUCCCCGGGGGUGAUUUGCUGUUGGUUUAAUGAUGUUCUCGAACUGGCUUAUUAUAUAAUACCGGUCAGCGACGCUAUUGCUUUGGGUACUUUCAGGACCCGUCUUGAAACACGGACCAAGGAGUCUAACAUGUGCGCAAGUCAUUGGGACAAAAAAAACCUAAAGGCGUAUUGAAAGAGAAGAUCGGCCUUGAGUCGAUUGAGGGAAGAUGGGUAAACAAAUUAUAAUGUUGCCUCGCAUUCCCGGGGCGUCUCGUUGUCAUUGCGACUUGAGGCGCACCUAGAGCGUACACGUUGGGACCCGAAAGAUGGUGAACUAUGCCUGGUCAGGACGAAGUCAGGGGAAACCCUGAUGGAGGUCCGUAGCGAUUCUGACGUGCAAAUCGAUCGUCGGAACUGGGUAUAG